rnacentral:rRNA from 1 species
GCAAAUCAUUUUGAAUUGAAAGUUUAAAAUUUAAUAAAUUUAUAGAAUUUUUUUUAUUUUAAUAAAAAUAUUUUUAAUUAUUUUUGUUUUAGUAAUUAUAAAAGAAAAAAUAAUUUUUAUUUAUAGUUUAAAGUAUAGAAAUAAAAUAUUGAAAUAAUUUGAAAAUUUAAUUUUAAAAAAGAAAAAUUUAAUUUUUGUUCCUUGUGUAUCAGGAUUAAUUAAAAAUAAAAAAUUUUUAAAAAAUUAAUUUAUAGUUUAAAAGAUUUAAAAUUUUUUAUUUUUUAUUGUUGAAUCAAUAUAAAUUAAAAAAUUUUUGAAAUGAAAUGUUAAAUGUUUUUAAAUAUAUAUAAUUUUUAAAGAAAUAAAUUGAAUUUAGAAAUAAAAUUUUUAAUUUAUUAAUUUUUUUUUAUUUAAGAAAAUAAUUAAUUAAUUUAUUUUUAUAAUUUAGGGGUUGAGCUUUAAAUUAAAAUUUUAAAAAUAAAAUUAUUUAAAAUUUUUAAAAAUUUAUAUUCUUAAAAAUAGAAAUUUAUAAAUAACAUGUUAUAAUAAAUUUUUAAAAAUUUUUAUUUAAUUUUUUAUUUUAAUUUUAUAUUUAAAUAAUUAUUUUAAUUUUAAAAUGUAAUAAAAAUAUUAUUAAAUUAGUAAAAUUUUAAAUUUAAUAAUAUAAAAAAAAGUUUUAUUUUAAAUUUAUUAAUUAGGCAAAAUUAUUUUUAUUUGUUUAACAAAAACAUUGUUUUUUUUUAUUUAUAAAAAAUAAGGCCUGCACACUGAUAAUAAUUAAAGAGCCGCGGUAAUUUGACCGUGCAAAGGUAGCAUAAUCAUUAGUUUUUUAAUUGAAGACUGGAAUGAAAGGUUUAAUAAAAAAUAAUCUUUAUUAAUUUAAAUUUAUUUGAAUUUGUUUUUUUAGUAAAAAAACUAAAAUAAUGAUAAAAGACGAUAAGACCCUAUAAAGCUUUAUAAAAGAAUAAAUUUUAUGAAUAUAUUUAGAAUAUUAAAAAUUUUAAUUUUAUUUUAUUUGAUUGGGGUGAUUUAAAGAUUUAUUUAACUUUUUAUUUUUAUUUUCUUUUAUAAAUGUUUAUUUUUGAUCCUAUUUUUUAGAUUAAAAGUUUAAGUUACUUUAGGGAUAACAGCGUAAUUUUUUUGAAGAGUUCAAAUCGAUAAAAGAGAUUGCGACCUCGAUGUUGGAUUAAGAUUUAAGUUUAGGUGUAGCAGUUUAAAUUUUUAGUCUGUUCGACUAUUUUAUUCUUACAUGAUCUGAGUUCAAACCGGUUUAAGCCAGGUUGGUUUCUAUCUUUAUAAAAAUUAUUAUAUUUUAGUACGAAAGGAUUGAAUAUAAAAAUUUAAUUUUAUAAAUUUGAAUAAAAUUAAAAAAAAAUAAAAUUUUUUUGUUUAUUUUUUAGAAUUAUAAAAAAAAAUUG